ACACAAACCAAAACCAUCUACAUACAAAAUUCUUGAAUUCUUUCUGUUUUGCUUCUGAAUAUAUCAGCACAAGGUCGAAAGGCCUUGUACUUGAAGAUUUUUGUGUUUACUAUUUUAAUAAAGGUUUCUUUCAUAGCUAAAAAAAUAACAUUUCUAGUAAUAUGGUAAAACGGUCAAAACUUGGUUUGACUCAAUAAAGAGAUCAAACAAAUGUUGUGAAAACCAUAACAUUGCACCUAAAUCCAACAAUUCAUGAUAUGCCACAUCAGCAGGGACAAUUAACCUGAGAAGGAUUAUGUAAGUGCUUCAGGAUUUAGCCACAAAAACUAUCUGUAUUUUCAUUAAGGGUGAAAAUACAAAUACGUAUCUGUAUUUUCACCAUUUUAUCGAUUUAGCCACAAAAACUAUCAGUGUAGUGAUUAAACCAUUUUUUCAGUUUACCUGAUUUUGAAAAAGGCAAAACAAAAAACACACAACAUACUAUAUACUGUAACUACUUUUUGGUUCAACCACUGAAGUAUAAUAUAUUACGAUCAUAAUAAAGAUAUAGGUAAAGAUAAAUCGAUAAAUGCUGAAAGUAUGUUGUGAUUUUCUAUAUUAGAAAACCCAGUAAACGAGAAAAAUGUUUGUUUUAAGCAAUCAGAAACUUGAUUAUCAGAGAAAAUGAUAAAAUGUUGAAAAAAAGGUAAGUAUGAUGUUGAUAAAGUGAUAAAAAGAGGUUAAAGUAUUCCAUCGUCACAUACCUUUGACAUUGUGUUUACGUUUGCCUUACAGCAUUUUGAACUCCUGUACACAAUUGCAACUAGAAGGUGGUUUAUGGUUUGGGUUUUAGGGUUUAGGGUUUAGGGUUUAGGGUUUAGUUUAAUUCCAAAUAGAUGGGUUUCUAAACUGUGAUGCCAUUGCUUCUGAUAAAAAUUUAGUGAGUGAUUCUCGGCUUACUUCCUUCUCCCGCUUAAGCUCAAGAUGACGAAUCUGUUUAUAUAACAUUUAAAUAAAUAAAUUGUUUUUUUUUCCGUUGUUGGAAACCGAUUUAGCUUGUUGGGAUAUACAUUAUAAAUAUAAUAAUAUUGAAAAUUUGGAAUUACCUUAACAGAACCUUUUUGAGAAACGCCAGUGUCUGAAAUGAUAAUAAGACAUUUAAUGUCAUGCUCAUUUGCAUAUUCAUACUGCUCCGUGAGGCUUGGAUCCAAAAUUGGAACAAACUCCGCCU
rnacentral:lncRNA from 1 species